rnacentral:rRNA from 1 species
AUUGAACGCUGGCGGCAUGCCUUACACAUGCAAGUCGAACGGUAACAGGUCUUCGGAUGCUGACGAUUGGCGAACGGGUGAGUAAUGCAUCGGAACGUGCCCAGUUGUGGGGGAUAACUGCUCGAAAGAGCAGCUAAUACCGCAUCCGACCUGAGGGUGAAAGCGGGGGAUCGCAAGACCUCGCGCAAUUGGAGCGGCAGAUGUCAGAUUAGGUAGUUGGUGGGGUAAAGGCCUACCAAGCCGACGAUCUGUAGGUGGUCUGAGAGGACGACCAGCCACACUGGGACUGAGACACGGCCCAGACUCCUACGGGAGGCAGCAGUGGGGAAUUUUGGACAAUGGGCGCAAGCCUGAUCCAGCAAUGCCGCGUGCAGGAAGAAGGCCUUCGGGUUGUAAACUGCUUUUGUCAGGGAAGAAAUCCUCUGGGUUAAUACCCCGGGGGGAUGACGGUACCUGAAGAAUAAGCACCGGCUAACUACGUGCCAGCCGCCGCAGUAA